ensembl:lncRNA
AAAAAAUGUCUAAUGAUUGACUAGGCUUUUAAACCUGAGCUGAAGGUAAGUUUGCCUUGCUGUUCCAGUUAAAUAUUCUCACUAGCCCCCUUCUCUUUCUCCGUUUUAUCAUGCCACAAAGUCCCCUUCAGCCUGAUUCAUUCUUUAUUCUUCAGAAAUUUGGGCAACAGUCAAAUCUGACCUUUAGAGCCAUAAACAAAUUAAAUUGUUUCACAACCAAAUAAUACGAAACAAUAUUGAAUAGCUCGGCUUCCGCUGAGUUUCCUCUUAAAGAGAAAGAAGCCCCAAAAGGGCGCAACACCAAGAAAUGGGAGAUAGAGUGAUGGGGCAUGAAUUGCGUUGAUGCAGCGAUGAAGUGGUGAAACACUGGGGUGAGAGACACCAGCACUUGGAAGGAUGAUAUGCUGAAUUAUUGAGUCCUUUGGGAGCAGGUUGCUCCCCAGGGCACGCCCCACUGCAGAGCAACUCAAGCUGAAACCCAACGAUGGACUCUCAAUGCACUCUCAGAGCUGCCAGGCUGGAAAACACUCCUCCUCUCCCUUCUGUUUGCCUGAACUUUGCUGUUCCCUGCACAGGAGGCACCCAACGCGUGGUCCAGCUGACACAGGAACCAUGACAGAGGUUCUAUCUCUGAACACAAUUUUCUCAAGAAACACUCUGUAAAUGCCACUGAACUUACACGACGAAAGAUCUGCAGAACAAGGGCCUUAGCAGAGAUAAGUAAUCACAAGAAAAAGAUUAGGCAACAGCAAGCCUACAGGCGGAAGUGGCGUAUUGGGAUUGCAGUGGCAUGACUACAAAGCUUCAGAGGAGAGUGCAAAAUUCUCACUUCAGUUCUGAUUUCUUUCUUCUGGCUCAUUUUUAGGCCAUAUAGUAUAUUUUAACCUUACUUCUUGUUUUUCAGGGAGCUCUCCUACACUUUUCUUUGUCUCUGUUUUCUCAUUCUAUUCCCUUCCAGGGUUUCUGCACUUUCUGUUCCAGAAAUCUCUUGCAGGAUCUGAUUCUGCAGAUGAUGCUGUAACCAGCAGUCAUAUUUUAUCCUGUGCCUGCUGAAACAAAUGAUGGAACUGCUAUUCCAGUAAGGGAUUUGUGAAUUUGGAUCACAGCUCAGAAGAUGAACACCUCCAACUGUGUAUGCAAAGAACAUCUGAAUUGAUUUUCCAAGGAGGAGAAGUACAGAACUCAAAGUGCUCCUUUGGUAGGAUGUGUGUGCUCACACUGAAACUCAGGCUUUCAGAAUCAAUUCACAAACUCCUGUAACUCUGUACUAUUUAAACACGGAUUCAGAAGGUUACAUCAUUUCCUCUGACCCAUGCAAAGAUAAGACACAGGACCAUCAGACAGUGGUUUGCAGCGAUCUGACUAACAUCACUUAUAACCCAUCAAAGACACUCCACAGCUCAGUCCUGAGCCCUCUUAGGAUGCAACAAUCCUCCUACAGAGUGCACAGUUCGGAUAUCUAUACUGUGCAGAGAAGCAUUACAAAUGGACAAUUGCACAGGAUUAAUCCCGCUCAGAUUGCAUGCCCUGUGGCCUCUGGAUGACGGCCAGCUCCACAUCAUUACCGCCUCUGAACAAGAAGAAGAGCCUCAUCUGGGGCAAGAUACAGCCUGCAAAACAUUGCUAAGAGUUAACAGUGUCACCUUAUUUUGUCUUCAAGCAAUCAUGUAAAGACAGAGGAACUGCUCUGUAAGAGUGUGGCAGCAUGCAACAAGAUGUCUAUGAAUGAAUCUUCUCUCAGGUAGGUGGCACACUGAUCUGAGAACCUGUCAAAAAAGAGAGAGUAUUUGCUGGAUGAUUUAUUUCUGAGGAAAACUGGAUCAGCUAGAAACUUUGGCAGUCUACUUCCAGCAGUAGUUAAGACUCAGCUUUUAAAGGAAGAAAGUGGAAAAAUAAAAUAAUAAUGC